GAUGAACGCUAGCGGCAGGCUUAAUACAUGCAAGUCGAGGGGCAGCGCGGGUAGCAAUACCUGGCGGCGACCGGCAAACGGGUGCGGAACACGUACGCAACCUUCCCAUAACUGGUGAAUAGCCCUCCGAAAGGAGGAUUAAUACACCGUAAGAUAACGGAGAGGCAUCUCUCUGUUAUUAUAGCUACGGCGGUUUUGGAUGGGCGUGCGCCUGAUUAGGUAGUUGGCGGGGUAACGGCCCACCAAGCCUACGAUCAGUAACUGGUGUGAGAGCACGACCAGUCACACGGGCACUGAGACACGGGCCCGACUCCUACGGGAGGCAGCAGUAAGGAAUAUUGGUCAAUGGACGCAAGUCUGAACCAGCCAUGCCGCGUGAAGGAUGAAGGUCCUCUGGAUUGUAAACUUCUUUUAUCUGGGACGAAAAAAGGGCUUUCUAGCUCACUUGACGGUACCAGAGGAAUAAGCACCGGCUAACUCCGUG
rnacentral:rRNA from 1 species